AUACUUACCUGGCAAGGGAGACACCGUGAUCAAGAAUGCGGUUCACCCAGGGCGAGGCUCAGCCAUUGCACUCCGGCUGUGCUGACCCCUGCGAAUUUCCCAAAU
rnacentral:snRNA from 8 species